UACAGAGGGGGCAAGCGUUAUUCGGAAUUAUUGGGCGUAAAGGGCGCGUAGGCGGCGAUUCAAGUGGCGGGUGAAAUCCCUCGGCUUAACCGAGGAACUGCCUGCCAGACUGGGUUGCUUGAGUCCGGGAGAGGUGAGUGGAAUUCCCAGUGUAGCGGUGAAAUGCGUAGAUAUUGGGAGGAACACCAGUGGCGAAGGCGGCUCACUGGACCGGAACUGACGCUGAGGCGCGAAAGCGUGGGGAGCAAACAGG
rnacentral:rRNA from 1 species